GCCUGGGUGGCUCAGUCGGUUGAGUGUCUGACUUUGGCUCAGGUCAUGAUCUCAUGGUCCUGGGUUUGAGCCCUGCGUCAGGCU
rnacentral:tRNA from 1 species